CCCUUUAGCCUCAUAAAGCAGACCCAGCAAAACCCUAAACCCUGAAAACCCAUUAAAAUCCAACUCAGUUAUCUCUUCUCCCUCCUAGUCUUGCACUUCUGAUAUCCACCCGAUGUCCACCGCAGUUCUCAUCCGCUCGUUGCGACGUCGUGACGUCGCCUCCGCUCCCGUCUCUGCUUACAAGUGUUUAACUGGCAAUUUGAAACCAUCAUGGGCCCCUUCUAACCUUGGUUUUAAUUGGGCAAGUUUGUCAAGAGCUUUCAGUGCAAAACCGGCCGGCAACGAUGUUAUUGGUAUUGACUUGGGUACAACUAAUUCUUGUGUUGCUGUCAUGGAGGGGAAGAAUCCCAAAGUCAUUGAAAAUUCUGAAGGAUCUAGGACCACCCCUUCAGUGGUUGCCUUCAACCAGAAGGGAGAGCUACUUGUGGGUACUCCAGCAAAGCGGCAGGCUGUGACCAAUCCAACCAACACAAUUUUUGGAACUAAGCGAUUGAUUGGUAGGAGGUUCGAUGAUCCUCAGACCCAGAAAGAGAUGAAAAUGGUUCCAUACAAGAUAGUUAGGGCACCAAAUGGAGAUGCAUGGGUUGAGGCCAAUGGGCAGCAGUAUUCCCCUAGCCAGAUUGGUGCCUUCAUUUUGACCAAGAUGAAAGAAACUGCAGAGUCUUACCUUGGAAAGACGGUUACAAAAGCUGUUAUCACUGUACCAGCCUAUUUCAAUGAUGCUCAAAGACAAGCAACAAAGGAUGCUGGGAGAAUUUCUGGCCUUGAUGUGCAAAGAAUCAUUAAUGAGCCCACUGCAGCUGCGCUUUCCUAUGGUAUGAACAACAAGGAGGGUCUAAUAGCAGUUUUUGACCUUGGUGGUGGGACAUUUGAUGUUUCAAUUUUAGAGAUCUCUAAUGGUGUUUUUGAGGUGAAAGCAACAAAUGGCGACACAUUCUUGGGAGGAGAGGACUUUGACAAUGCUCUGCUGGAGUUCUUAGUGAGUGAAUUCAAGAGAACUGAGGGCAUUGAUCUAACAAAGGACAGGCUGGCUCUGCAGAGGCUUCGGGAAGCAGCAGAAAAGGCUAAGAUAGAGCUCUCAUCAACAACCCAGACUGAAAUCAACUUGCCAUUUAUCACAGCUGAUGCAUCUGGUGCCAAACAUCUAAACAUUACUCUAACUAGAUCCAAAUUCGAAAGUUUGGUAAAUCACUUGAUUGAAAAGACGAGGGAUCCGUGCAAGAACUGUUUGAAGGAUGCUGCCGUAACCACCAAGGAUGUUGAUGAGGUUCUCCUUGUUGGAGGAAUGACCCGUGUGCCCAAGGUUCAAGAAGUUGUAGCAGAGAUCUUUGGAAAGAGUCCGAGCAAAGGAGUAAAUCCUGAUGAAGCAGUUGCUAUGGGAGCUGCAAUCCAGGGUGGUAUUCUUCGUGGAGAUGUCAAAGAGUUGCUGCUCCUGGAUGUUACUCCUCUAUCGCUUGGUAUUGAGACUCUUGGUGGGAUAUUCACAAGGUUGAUCAACAGGAACACAACAAUUCCUACUAAGAAGAGUCAGGUGAGGCUUUGCACUAAAUUUUAUUGUUACUUAAUCUUUUUCAUAAUGAGGUGGGUAACACAAUUCAAGGCUGUAGGCUUUUUGUGCAAAUAGAUAUUGAGAAUCUCUCAUGGUUUUCCCUUCAUGCAAAAGAAAUAUGUUUUGGUUCAGCUGAGAUUUGGUAAGUGUUCAUCUUAAUGUAAUACUUUAUUUAAAUGGGGAUAAAACGUUAAAUUUACCCUUUCUGUGCUAGCAGUACAUUUGUCGACAAUUAGAGGUGGAUAUAUUAAUUAUAAACUAACUAUUUCUAUUGCAGUGACGUCAUAGUUUGUUCUAUGUGGUGAUAUGGUAGUUUAUGUAUCUAAUUGGUGCUUCUUUGAUCACAGGUCUUCUCUACAGCCGCUGAUAACCAGACCCAGGUUGGUAUCAAGGUACUCCAAGGUGAGCGUGAAAUGGCAUCUGACAACAAGCUAUUGGGAGAGUUUGAACUUAUGGGUAUUCCACCAGCACCAAGGGGUAUGCCUCAGAUUGAGGUGACUUUUGAUAUUGAUGCCAACGGUAUUGUCACUGUUUCAGCCAAGGACAAGUCCACUGGAAAAGAACAACAGAUCACCAUCCGAUCAUCUGGUGGUCUUUCAGAGGAUGAAAUUGAGAAGAUGGUCAAGGAGGCUGAGCAAUUUGCUCAGAAGGAUCAGGAAAGAAAGUCUUUGAUUGACAUCAAAAAUAGUGCAGACACCACAAUCUACAGCAUAGAGAAAAGUUUGGGUGAGUAUAGGGACAAGAUUCCUGCUGAAGUUGCCAAGGAGAUUGAGGAUGCUGUUGCAGAAUUGAGGAAGGCAAUGGCUGGAGAUAAUAUUGAAGAGAUCAAAUCCAAACUUGAUUCUGCAAACAAAGCCGUGUCAAAGAUUGGAGAGCAUAUGUCCAAGGGCAGUGGUGGGGAUUCUGCAUCUGGGGGUUCUCAGGGUGGCGAACAGGCUUCCGAGGCCGAGUAUGAGGAGGUGAAGAAGUGAGUGUUUAACUGGAAGCCUUGAUAGUUUCAUUUGAAGGGGUCCAAAACCACAUCAAAUUUUAUUCUCUUUUUAGUGUAUAAGGUUUCUAGCGGUUUUGUAUCUAAAUGUGGGAGGUUGAAUUUGCUAGGACGUUGUUUGUUACUGAUUUAAAAACUGCAGGAGGGUUAGCCCCAUUUUAGUUAUGUCAGUAACCAAAAUUUUCUGAACUCAAUUGUUUAGUCCCUUGAGAUUAUAGUAUUUAUUGUUUUCACAAAAACAAGAUUAAAAUCCUCUUGGGUGGUUUGAUUUUGCCUUUGAAGGUCUGCAUCUCCAUUUUUGGCUCUUUUCUAUUCUGUGGUGG
rnacentral:misc_RNA from 1 species